rnacentral:rRNA from 1 species
GUAGGGGGCAAGCGUUGUCCGGAUUUAUUGGGCGUAAAGAGCGUGUAGGCGGCCUGAAAGGUCAGCUGUGAAAACUCGAGGCUCAACCUCGAGACGUCGGUUGAAACCAUCUGGCUAGAGUCCGGAAGAGGAGAGUGGAAUUCCCGGUGUAGCGGUGAAAUGCGCAGAUAUCGGGAAGAACACCCGUGGCGAAGGCGGCUCUCUGGGACGGUACUGACGCUGAGACGCGAAAGCGUGGGGAGCGAACAGGAUUAGAUACCCUGGUAGUCCACGCCGUAAACGAUGGGUGCUAGGUGUGGGGGGUGUCGACUCCCUCCGUGCCGAAGCUAACGCAUUAAGCACCCCGCCUGGGGAGUACGGCCGCAAGGCUA